rnacentral:lncRNA from 1 species
ACCAUCUUCCAUUGGUCAAUGUUUGCCCCUGGGGAGCUCCCGUUUGCAUCUGACAAGGCACUCAAAGGAACUGCCCAGACAUGCACAGGGAGUGAGUCUCUCCAGCGGCAGCUGGAGCUGAGCAAAGGGUCAGGGGCUCCAGAAACAGGAAUUCAGAUGUCCUCUGGAUCUGCUUCAAAACUGUAUCCCGUCUUUAUGGCUUUGCCUAGACUAUUAUGGCAGCAGAAUGAUGUGCUGGCUGACCUCAACAAACCUAACAUUGCUCAUAGCCAGAAAAAUUGGGAAUUAAGGCUUACGAUGAGAGGAAGAAGGAACCACCGCCCAAAGAGAGGAUCUGUUGCUGUCAUAUCCAAGCUAUUCUAUCAUGUUAGAAGAAAUAUAGUCUCCGUAUUGUACUGGAAAGAACUUAAGAUGCAGACUACGAUGAGACCCUAUAAGAUGGAGAAGACACAAGAGGAAAGGAGCCAGAGUCUCUGAAUGAUGGUGUAGUGAUGCUUUCCUGACAAUCUUAACAUCCACUCAGGACUCUGACAUUAGCAAGAUAUAAAUUUGUAUGUCAUUAAGCCACUGAAAUUUUGGAGUCUGUUUGUUAGUUCAACAAACCUAGUCCACAGGGUCUAUGUUUUUAAGAUCUAAGCACGUUAAAAUGGUGUCAGAAGAGAGUGUAAAUUUGGAUAAUUAGAGGGAAAGGAAACAAACAAUAUCACUACAUCAGUUAUAAGACAAGAGAGAUACGGACAGAGUACACAGGUUGGUGAAUGGCCCACAGCCAGAAGAGUGUUCUGGUUAUCCAUUGCUGUAUAAUAAACUGUUCUGAAACUUAACAACUUAAAGCAAUAAUCAUUUCAUUCCAUCUUCUUAAGUUUAAGAUUUUGAGGGUCAGGAAUUCAGGCAGAGCUCAGCUGGAUGAUUCUUCCGUUCCAUGUGGCAUUGAGAGGUUGUUGGUAGACGAGUGGAUCUGAACCAUCAAAGACUACUUUGUUCAUAAGUCUUGUGUUUUGUGUAAAUGGCCAGAAGGCUGGGCUUAGCUGGGAUUAUGGGCUUGGGGCCAGUAUGUGAUUGCUCCCCAGGACUCUGAGUAAUCCAAAUUCUUACACAGGCCUCCAAGAAAGAGAGUUCUAAAAUAUUUGGUUGAAAUCAGCAAGUCUUCAUUUGAUUUAACCUCAGAAGUUCCACCUCAAUUUCAAUGGCAGAAAAAUUAGAUUUCACCACUCAUUGAAAAGUAUGGCAAGUAUUUGCAGUCUUCUUUAAUGUAAAGCAGAACAACUUUUUUUUUUAACAAGCUAGAAGGAAGAAUUAAUUGAUAAGGAUGUCAUUUGCUUUUACAAGCUCUGGAAAAAACUUGAGGAAUUUCCAUUGAUUCUAUAAGAUAAGACAGUGAUAUAAAAUUUUUGAGAAUUUUCAGACAAAUAUAGAUGACCAAGUAUGCUGGUUCAAGUCCUUUUGGAAGCAGACACCAAGAAGGAAUUGGUUGUUCAAAAGAUUUAUUUGGGGAAAAUUUAGUGAUGGACAAAGGACGGAAGGAACAGGAGUUAGUAGGGAGAGUUUUAGAGCAAAUGCAGGUCUGACAACUAUUAAAGGAGAUAGGAAAGGAAGGAUAAAAUUGAAUAGGAGGAGUCUCAGACUAAAGUGUAGUUCUGAGAAAUUCUCAACCAGUGUGAUGGGGAGUCUCAGAGCAAAGAAUGCACAUUUGAGGAGUCCUUCGUGAGAGAGAAAUAGUGCUCUAUUCCCUCCACCAUGUGCAUUCAUUGGCUGGGAGUAGCCCAGGGAAAAUAUGUCCUGUGUAUAAAUGCUGGAUGGAUCCAAAGUUGUGGCAGCUGGAGUCAGGAAAUCAACUACGUUGCUCGCAAGGAAUCUCUCUUGAAGGGAGAUCUGAGAAGUACACAUCCAUGGCUGCCACAUUAGGCUUGAGAAUAGUUAAGAAGGUGUGGAAAAUUCUUGUCUGGAAUGGGAGAGUUGGUUCAAGAGACAUAGUAAUGGCAUAGUUAUCAAUUCUAUAAUUGAUAUAGCUAGGUUUAGUGUCCAUGGAUUUUGAGCACAAUAGAUUUUCUGUGAAUUUCUCUUGCUCAGCUGUCUAGGUUCAACAUUAAACUCUUAUUCCCUAUUUUUCUCCAUCCUUUAGUGCUCUGUCU